rnacentral:tRNA from 1 species
GCCUGGGUGGCUCAGUGGGUUGAGCAUCUGACUUCAGCUCAGGUCAUGAUCUCGUGGUCCGUGAGUUCGAGCCCCGUGUCAGGCC